rnacentral:tRNA from 1 species
GCCCUCGUAGUAUAAACCAAUACACUGGCCUUGUAAACCAAAAAUGGAAUACCCAUCCCUAGGGCA